AUGUGGGUGACUUUCGGCAGCGGCACCAGACUGGAUGUUGGCAGCUUCACUCGUCCUAAAGUGAGCGUCCUGCCGCCCUCCAGUGAAGAGAUUUCCACAAAGAAAACAGCAACACUGAUGUGUGUGCUCAACAAGGGUUUCCCCUCAGACUGGAGUGUGAUGUGGAAGGUGGACGGGAGCAGCAGAUCUCAGGACAGCAGUGUUGGGCUCCUGGAGAAGGACGGUCUGUACAGCUGGAGCAGCAGUCUGACUCUCUCUGAGCAGGAGUGGAGCUCAGUGCUCUCAGUGAGCUGUGAGGCCAAACACAAAGAUCCCAGUCAUACAGUAACUGGAGAAUUCAGGAGAGAUGAUGAGUGUUCACACUAG